rnacentral:rRNA from 1 species
ACGGGAGGCAGCAGUGGGGAAUAUUGGACAAUGGGGGAAACCCUGAUCCAGCGACGCCGCGUGAGUGAAGAAGUAUUUCGGUAUGUAAAGCUCUAUCAGCAGGGAAGAUGAUGACGGUACCUGACUAAGAAGCCCCGGCUAACUACGUGCCAGCAGCCGCGGUAAUACGUAGGGGGCAAGCGUUAUCCGGAUUUACUGGGUGUAAAGGGAGUGUAGGCGGCCAGACAAGUCAGGUGUGAAAACCCGGGGCUUAACCCCGGGACUGCACUUGAAACUGCCCGGCUAGAGUGCAGGAGAGGCAAGCGGAAUUCCUAGUGUAGCGGUGAAAUGCGUAGAUAUUAGGAAGAACACCGGUGGCGAAGGCGGCUUGCUGGACUGAGACUGACGCUGAGGCUCGAAAGCGUGGGGAGCAAACAGGAUAGAUACCCUGGUA